CCUUCCUAAGAGAGAAAAGGGCAUUGCCAAACAAUUGCAGGCACCACCGAGAACCACUGGAUGAAGUCGUCUUUUUUUUUUUUUCUGGCGUCCCCCUCUUUCCCAAAGAGGAGGAACCAAAUGGCUCCGGUGGAUAAGGAAUGCAGGAGAGAUUUGGGAGGAAAAAUACUUUCCCUGUGUUCCUAUGAUCGCGUGUGGUGCCAUGUUUGAAAAGA